rnacentral:rRNA from 1 species
GAUGAACGCUGGCGGCGUGCCUAAUACAUGCAAGUCGGACGCACUAAUUUAUUAGUGAGUGGCGAACGGGUGAGUAACACGUAGGUAAUCUACCUUUAAGACGAGGAUAACCAUUGGAAACGAUGGCUAAGACUGGAUAGGAAUAUGUAAGGCAUCUUAUAUAUUUUAAAAGACCUAGCAAUAGGUAUACUUAAAGAGGAGCCUGCGGCGCAUUAGUUAGUUGGUGAGGUGAUGGCUUACCAAGACAGUGAUGCGUAGCCGGACUGAGAGGUUGAACGGCCACAUUGGGACUGAGACACGGCCCAAACUCCUACGGGAGGCAGCAGUAGGGAAUUUUCGGCAAUGGGGGCAACCCUGACCGAGCAACGCCGCGUGAAUGACGAAGUACUUCGGUAUGUAAAGUUCUUUAUUAGGGAAGAAUGACUUGUGGAAAAGCAAGUGUGACGGUACCUAAUGAAUAAGCCCCGGCUAACUAUGUGCCAGCAGCCGCGGUAAAGUAG